UAGAGCACCCUUUCUACUUCCGCCUACAUCUCUCAAAAAUACAUAACCCUAGCCCCUUGUAACUCCUCGCCAUCCUCGCCGCCGACUAACAUCGGAAGUCGCCUAACAGCGGUUCCGAUGUUCCAAUGGCCCCAAAUCAACACCCAAUAAACCCCAUUGUCUCCUCUUUACAAAUCUCCAAACCAGUUCCCUCGAAUCAUCUUCAAAUGGCUAGAAUCUUAAAUCUAAAAUUGAUGCCUCAAAACCUUAAGUCACCUAAAUGCCUCCAAAUUCACACCAUAUAAUCGUAGCACCCCUCUGAAGCCUAGACCACCAGUAGUCCUCUCCGAAUCAGCCUGAAGUUCCUCAAAUUCUAAAUCAAAGUUCUUAAGAACCCUGUCUUUCUUUCACUUCCCCCUUUCUUUUAGUUAUUUUUGGUUUGGCCGUAUGACUUAGGUUACCUUUGCCUUUUGGUUUAAGCUUCGUUAAUUGCAUGUUUCAAGAUUUCGUCAAUUAGAAAUCCAAUGUUGCCUAGGUCCACAUUGUUAGAUUGAAAUGAUUAGGUUUAGUUUUCUUAUAAUUCCCCUAUUUCUGUUUCUCCUUUUAGUUUAUUUCUUGCUAUUUGCUUUGUUUAUUUUUGUUGCUUGCAAGUUUUGUUAAGAAUGUUGUUAAAAGGUUAAUCAACAGCCUAUUUAGCCAACUCCUACUUACUUUAGUUUUAGCUGGAUUCAAUUUUAUUUCAUUGUGUUGAAUUUAGCUAGUUUGAUUGUUGGUUUUCUUGGAAUGAGCAUGUUGGAUUUCAGUAGCUUUUUAAAUCUGAGUUGGGUUGCCUACAUAUUUUAAUAAUUGGGUUUAAUUGAUUUUAAACUUAGGCUCGAGCCUCUGAACAAUAAUUUAAACCUUAGGUUAAUGGCUUGUAAUAUCAUUAGGCAACUUAAUCACAUAGUUGAAGGUUUUUAAAAUGGUGGUAAUUAAUUUGAAAUCAGAACAUAGGGCAAAACUGAAAUAGGC
rnacentral:lncRNA from 1 species